rnacentral:rRNA from 1 species
CAAGUCGAACGCGUGUAGCAAUACACGAGUGGCGAAAGGGCGAGGAAUAGAUUCCUACGUACCCCGGAGUCAGGGAUAACCAUCGGAAACGAUGGCUAACACCUGAUGAUCUCGAAAGAGCAAAGUUUACGCUCUGGGAGCGGGGAAUCUCCUAUCAGCUAGUUGGUGAGGUAAUGGCUCACCAAGGCGAAGACGGGUAGCGGGUGUGAGAGCACGGCCCGCCGCAUCGGGACUGAGACACUGCCCGGACUCCUACGGGAGGCUGCAGUAACGAAUCUUCCGCAAUGCGCGAAAGCGUGACGGGGCAAUGCCGCGUGUGGGAUGAAGCCCCUCGGGGUGUAAACCACUGUCAGGGUCUAGGAACACAAUGACCAUACCCAAAGGAAGCACCGGCUAACUCUGUGCCAGCAGCCGCGGUAAUACAGAGGGUGCGAGCGUUAAUCGGAAUCACUGGGCUUAAAGGGUCCGUAGGCGGGACUGCAGGCGUCGAGUGAAAUACCACGGCUCAACCGUGGAACUGCCCGGCGAACCGCAGUUCUUGAGGCGAGUAGAGGCGAUCAGAACGAUAGGUGGAGCGGUGAAAUGCGUAGAUAUCUAUCGGAAUGCCAAAGGUGAAGACAGGUCGCUGGGCUCGUCCUGACGCUGAGGGACGAAAGCGUGGGGAGCAAACGGGAUUAGAUACCCCGGUAGUCCACGCCGUAAACAAUGCGCACUGGGUCGGGGGGGUUUGACGCCCUCCUGGCCGAAGCAAAAGUGUUAAGUGCGCCGCCUGGGGAGUACGGUCGCAAGGCUAAAACUCAAAGGAAUUGACGG